rnacentral:tRNA from 2 species
CGGAGCGUAGCGCAGCUGGCUAGCGCACUUGAAUGGGGUUCAAGAGGUCGCAGGUUCGAAACCUGCCGCUCCGACCA